rnacentral:lncRNA from 1 species
AAAAUCGGAGUUAAAAUAACCGUUAAAUCGUGAUUUUUCAUUAUAACCGUCGAAAAGUUUUGUCCCAUUACUUGAUCUCUGAAUGUUUAUUUUUUUCGAUUUUUGGCGUAUAUGAUCUCGAAGUAUAAACAAACAAGUUUGACGGUUGAAUCGUUGAAACUAGUUUUGGUGAAUGCAUAUGCCAUCAAAACAAUAUAUUCACUAACAAUUAAGAGGUUAUUUAUACGUUCGUUAGAUAUAACAUAACAUUUUGUGGUAUCCACUAGUGUAAAUAUUUUAAAUUGAAGAUCAAAUUCAGUCAUUGUAUUCAUAUAUGGUCAAGGAGUGUAGCUGUAAAAAAUAUCAUCAAAAUCGGAGUUAAAAUAACCGUUAAAUCGUAAUUUUUCAUUUAUAACCAUCGAAAAGUUUUGUCCUGUUACUAGAUCUCUGAAUGUUUAUUUUUUGCGAUUUUUGGGGUAUACGGUCUUGAAGUAUAUACAAAUAAGUCUGACGGUUGGAUCGUUGAAUGGUGUGUGUGUAUAUAUUUAUUUAUUAAGUAGCUUUAAAUUUAUUUAUUUUGUACGUAUAACACUUAAGAAAUUGAAUAGUAUAUAUAUUUAUUAAGCAGCUUUAACCUUAUUUAUAUUUUAAAUUGUAAAAUAAAAUAAUUGUUUUUUUAUUAUUCAUAACAAUUAUUUUUAUAAAUAUUGUGUUACGAACCAAUUUUUCGUCUCUCAAAAGUUUGCGCAACCAACAGUUUGUCGC